rnacentral:lncRNA from 1 species
UAUAGGUACAGUUUACAAUUUGUAAGUGGGCAUGACGUAAAACAGCAAAGCAAAGAAUUCAACUUUAUUUAUAACUUAUAUAGGACAAUGCUGUUGAUUAAAAAAUACUCCAUUCCAGGGACCUUUUGUUUUCCAAAUAAUUAAUAUUACCAAUAACUGAUAAGUUCCAGUUCUACGGGUUCAAACAGAAAGACUUGAAAGCAGAGAAAAACUGUGUAUCUUAUAAUUUGUCAGCCGUCAUCACGUAAAAACGACGAAUCACAGAAAUCAACUUUAUAUAUAAAAUAUAGUACAAAGGUGUAGUUUAAAAAUUACACCACUCCAGGCCCUUUUGUUUUCCACGUAAUUAAUAUUGCCAAUAAUUAAAAAGUUCCGGGUCGAGUCCGCUACCGAUACCAAUAGUAUAUUUACCUGUUACCUAUUACCUUAUCUGUACGUUCCGCAUCUGACAGGCGCACCACCAAACGUUGUAUUCAGGACUAAUAUGCUAUAUACACGGGUCAUAACCACAGGGUUGACACUACUAAAUUGUCAAAUUGUUACCUAUUGUAGUAUUUUAAUCAGUAAGACUUUCUAAGAUAACAAUACGAAUACUAAAAAUCUGGACUAAAAAUAAGGCGUAUAGGUACAUUUUUCAAUUUGUUAGUGGGCAUGACGUAAAACAGCAAAGCAAAGAAUUCAACUUUAUUUAUAACUUAUAUAUAGGACAAUGCUGUUGAUUAAAAAAUACUCCAUUCCAAGACCUUUUGUUUUCCAAAUAAUUAAUAUUACCAAUAACUGAUAAGUUCCAGUUCAACAGGUUCAAACAGAAAGACUUGAAAGCAGAGAAAAACUGUGUAGUAUCUUAUAAUCGACAUGACUUUAUCAGAUGACAAUACUAAUACUAAAAUAAGGCUUGCGAAUAGUUAUAUACUUUAAUUCAGUCACGGACCCGUGAUAUCACGGGUGUGUUCUAGUA